AAUGCUUGAUCCUCACCUUUUCCAGGAGAGUUAUCCUUUCAUGUUUCUCCUCUUCAAUUGUUUGUUCUUCAGGUUUCUCCUCAAUUAUUGGUUCUUCAGGUUUCUUCUCAAAUGCUGGUGUUUCACGUUUCUCCUCAAUUGAUGGUUCUUCAGGUUUCUUCUCAACCGUUGGUUCUUCAGGUUUUUCUUCAACUCCGGUUCUUCAAGGUUUGCCUCAACUGAUAAAUAGUCGGCAACAUCAUUGUUGGUAUUGCAUUGAAUUUCACUGUCAGUCUUCUCAUUGAAAUCUACAACUGACAUAUUCUGCAA
rnacentral:lncRNA from 1 species